AAAGUGAAACUUUUCUUUAAUCAAAUCAAUAAAUAACACAACAUUAUGUUGUACCAUUUAUUCGCUAAUGGUUAAGUUAGAAAGGGCGCACGGUGAAUGCCUUGGCACUAGGAGCCGAUGAAGGACGGGACUAACACCGAUAUGCUUCGGGGAGCUGUAAGUGAGCUUUGAUCCGGAGAUUUCCGAAUGGGGAAACCCG
rnacentral:misc_RNA from 1 species